UACAGCCAUAUCAUGUUGAAACACUGGUUCCUUUAUAAUCACUGAAGUUAAGCAACAUUGAGCCAGGCCAGUACCUAGAAGGGCAACUGCUUGGGAAUACCAGGUACUGUAAG